GGUUGUAAAGGAGAAAAGACCAGAGUUGCCUCCUUGACCUGAUUCCUUCCAGAAAGGCUGAGUGCGUGAAUGCCAGUGUCCAACUCAUUCUCAUACCUACUCCCAAGUCCCUGGACUCUCACCUUCAGGAAAAACAACGGAUUAUGCAUUUGAGAUGGCGGUCUCGAACAUUAGAUAUGGAGCAGGGGUUACAAAGGAAGUGGGCAUGGCAAGUAUUUGAGAUGUCUGCAGCGUCUACAGGUUAUAUCUUGUAAACACAUGUGUCAAAGGACCAAUAAUCAAGUCCUUUGUUCUUUUUUUAAUGUGUGUUUAUUUAAUGUACCAGUGCUCUAUCUGCAUGUAUACCUAUGUGCCAGAAGAGGGCAUCAGAUCCUGUUAUAGACAGCUGUGAGCCACCAUGUGGAUUUGAACUCAGGUCCUCUGGAAGAGCGGCCAGUGCUACUUAACCAUUGAGCCAUCUCUCUAGCACCAAGUCUUUUGUUCUUAAAGAGCACAUUAAACUUGCCCUAAAGGUGCUGCUCUCCGAGCCUAACUUAUGAGUUAAUUUUUAUUGUAGGAUCUACAGAAUAUGGGAGCUAAGAAUGUCUGCCUGAUGACAGACAAGAACCUCUCCCAGCUCCCUCCUGUCCAAAUAGUUAUGGAUUCCCUAUCGAAGAAUGGCAUUAGUUUUCAGGUUUAUGACAACGUGAGGGUGGAGCCUACAGACGGAAGGUAACACUGUGUGCUUCUUAGUUACUUA
rnacentral:lncRNA from 1 species